rnacentral:rRNA from 1 species
UACGUAGGGGGCAAGCGUUGUCCGGAAUCAUUGGGCGUAAAGAGCGUGUAGGCGGUUCGGUAAGUCGGCUGUGAAAGUCCAGGGCUCAACCCUGGGAUGCCGGUCGAUACUGCCCGGACUAGAGUUCGGAAGAGGCGAGUGGAAUUCCCGGUGUAGCGGUGAAAUGCGCAGAUAUCAGGAGGAACACCGGUGGCGAAGGCGGGUCUCUGGGCCGAUACUGACGCUGAGGAGCGAAAGCGUGGGGAGCGAACAGG